rnacentral:rRNA from 1 species
GGCUCAGGAUGAACGCUAGCUACAGGCUUAACACAUGCAAGUCGAGGGGCAGCAUGACGAUAGCUUGCUAUUGUUGAUGGCGACCGGCGCACGGGUGAGUAACGCGUAUCCAACCUUCCCUAUAGUAGAGGAUAGCCCGGCGAAAGUCGGAUUAAUACUCUAUGUUUUCCAAUGCAGACAUCUAAAAUGGAACAAAGGCUUGCCGCUAUAGGAUGGGGAUGCGUCUGAUUAGAUAGUAGGCGGGGUAGCGGCCCACCUAGUCAACGAUCAGUAGGGGUUCUGAGAGGAAGGUCCCCCACAUUGGAACUGAGACACGGUCCAAACUCCUACGGGAGGCAGCAGUGAGGAAUAUUGGUCAAUGGGCGAGAGCCUGAACCAGCCAAGUAGCGUGCAAGGAUGACGGCCCUAUGGGUUGUAAACUGCUUUUAUAUAGGGAUAAAGUGCACUACGCGUAGUGUUUUGUAGGUACUAUAUGAAUAAGGACCGGCUAAUUCCGUGCCAGCCGCUGC